rnacentral:rRNA from 1 species
CCUACGGGAGGCAGCAGUGGGGAAUAUUGCACAAUGGGGGAAACCCUGAUGCAGCGACGCCGCGUGAGUGAAGAAGUAAUUCGUUAUGUAAAGCUCUAUCAGCAGGGAAGAAAAUGACGGUACCUGAGUAAGAAGCCCCGGCUAACUACGUGCCAGCAGCCGCGGUAAUACGGCGGUGGCAAGCGUUAUCCGGAUUUACUGGGUGUAAAGGGAGCGUAGGCGGCAGUGCAAGUCUGGAGUGAAAGGGGGGGGCUCAACCCCCGGACUGCACUGGAAACUGUACGGCUGGAGUGCAGGAGAGGUGAGUGGAAUUCCUGGUGUAGCGGUGAAAUGCGUAGAUAUUAGGAGGAACACCAGUGGCGAAGGCGGCUUACUGGACUGUAACUGACGUUGAGGCUCGAAAGCGUGGGGAGCAAACAGGAUUAGAUACCCCAGUAGUC